rnacentral:lncRNA from 1 species
GCAUGUUUCCCAUGGAAUAGCGUUGAAACUGUAAAUAUUUACUUGAGAAUAAUGCCCAAGUCAAAUUUAACCAAAAUGAUAAGCCCCCCCCCAUUGACUUCUCUUAGUAGUAACUAACAGGCUGGGACAACCAAACCAGUUUGGCAACUUUUUCCUUGAUCGGGUAUGCACUGAACCAAUGGCAACAAUUUCUGGGAUUUUAAGAGGUAGAUGUUUUUCUCUCUCUACAUUCUUCUGGGCAGAAUACCUCUAUCGUUUUCCCCUUAAACCAAACAAAAUAGAACAAAUUCAGGUUCCCUGCUCAUUUGAUGAUAGACGUUAGCUUCCUGCCAGCAGUGUUUUAUGGCGGGGGGAGGCUAAGGAUGUAAGUUAAAACCUCGGACUGCCCUCUUCGUCAUGAAUUCCCACCUGUGCCGUUUGCCAGCUUGCCUUUCUGUAACUUUAUUUGAUGUCUGCCAUCGCCGGCCUGUGCAGGAGGAAACUGAAAUUGACAUCCGAACAUCUGAAAGGACAAAGGUCUGUUAUGGAAAGAGGAUCCUUGGCUGUUCUCCGCCCUGUUUCCCCUCGUACUUUUAUAGAAUGUUUGCAAGGAUAAUAAGGGCCGGCAAUAGGAGGGAGUCCGCACUGCCAAAGAUGAAAGCGCUGUUUCUCAGGAGGGAAGGAGGCACGGACCUCACAAGUAAAACAAUGCCUUCCACUGUUUCUUCUCCUACUUUGCCCUGCCCCGUUCUUCCACACCCGGGAUCCUCGUGCCUGGCACCGUGGACUCCUUGGACUUGGUCCUUCUUCGGUGGUCGUGGUGCCCCUUGA